rnacentral:lncRNA from 1 species
UGGUGCAUGGCAGAAUGGCACCGUACCAAGGUGCACUGUGCAUAGUGCAUGAUAAAAGUGCAACAUACCAUAAUCCACGGUGCAUAGUGAAUGACAUACCUGCUUGAUACUUAUUUUGGAAUGUGCAAAAAAGAAAAUUGGAUGGUUAAAAUACACGAUAUCAAAGUGCUGUGUGCAUAAAGGAAGUGCACAAUUCCAAUUUGCAUGGUGCAUAGUGCUUGGUGGAAGUGCACCAUAGUAAGAUGUACUGUCCAUAGUGGAAGUUCAAU